GAUGAACGCUGACAGAAUGCUUAACACAUGCAAGUCGAUGGGGAAGUGGUGCUUGCACCAUGGUAACCAUGGCGGACGGGUGAGUAACGCGUAAGGAACUUACCUGCGGGACCGGGAUAACAGCAGGAAACUGCUGACGAGACCGGAUAAGGUCAUUAAGCUGCAUAGCUUAGUGAUGAAAGGAGACGCCUGCGGAGAGCCUUGCGUCCUAUUAGCUAGUUGGAGGGGUAACGGCCCACCAAGGCGAAGAUAGGUAGCCGGCCUGAGAGGGUGGACGGCCACAAGGGGACUGAGAUACGGCCCUUACUCCUACGGGAGGCAGCAGUGGGGAAUAUUGGACAAUGGGGGCAACCCUGAUCCAGCAAUUCUGUGUGCACGAAGACGGUUUUCGGAUUGUAAAGUGCUUUCAGCAGGGAAGAAGGAAGUGACGGUACCUGCAGAAGAAGCGACGGCUAAAUACGUG
rnacentral:rRNA from 1 species